GAUGAACGCUGGCGGCGUGCCUAAUACAUGCAAGUCGAGCGAACAGACGAGGAGCUUGCUCCUCUGACGUUAGCGGCGGACGGGUGAGUAACACGUGGAUAACCUACCUAUAAGACUGGGAUAACUUCGGAAAACCGGCGCUAAUACCGGAUAAUAUAUUGCACCGCAUGGUUCAAUAGUGAAAGACGGUUUUGCUGUCACUUAUCGAUGGAUCCGCGCUGUAUUAGGUAGUUGUUAAGGUAACGGCUUACCACGGGAACGGUGCGUUGCCGACGCGAUGGGGGGUACGGGCCCUGUGAAGCUGAGAGGCGGCACUGAGACUGAGGGAAGGCAGAAGCAGCGACUGGAGCGCACGGUGGGGAAGCUUGCAGGAGGAACGGCGGGCGAGUGAAGAAGGUCUGCGUGCGUAAAAACCUGUUACUAGGGAAGAACAAAUGUGGAAGGAACUAUGCACGGAUUGACGGUACCUGGUCAGAAAGCAACGGCUAACUACGUG
rnacentral:rRNA from 1 species